rnacentral:rRNA from 2 species
CACCGCGGUUAUACGAGAGACCCUAGUUGAUAACUACCGGCGUAAAGAGUGGUUAUGGAAAAUAUUUAAUAAAGCCGAACACCCCCUCAGCCGUCAUACGCACCUGGGAGCACGAAGACCUACUGCGAAAGCAGCUUUAAUUAUGCCUGACCCCACGACAGCUAAGAAA